rnacentral:rRNA from 1 species
UACGUAGGGGGCAAGCGUUGUCCGGAAUCAUUGGGCGUAAAGAGCGUGUAGGCGGCCCGGUAAGUCCGCUGUGAAAGUCCAGGGCUCAACCCUUGGAUGCCGGUGGAUACUGCAGGGCUAGAGUCCGGAAGAGGCGAGUGGAAUUCCUGGUGUAGCGGUGAAAUGCGCAGAUAUCAGGAGGAACACCGAUGGCGAAGGCAGCUCGCUGGGACGGUACUGACGCUGAGGCGCGAAAGCGUGGGGAGCAAACAGG